rnacentral:rRNA from 1 species
UACAGAGGGUGCAAGCGUUAAUCGGAAUUACUGGGCGUAAAGCGUGCGUAGACGGUUAUUUAAGUCAGGUGUGAAAGCCCCGGGCUCAACCUGGGAAUUGCAUUUGAGACUGCAUAGCUAGGGUGCGGAAGAGGGAAGCGGAAUUUCCGGUGUAGCGGUGAAAUGCGUAGAUAUCGGAAGGAACAUCAGUGGCGAAAGCGGCUUCCUGGUCCAGCACCGACGUUCAGGCACGAAAGCGUGGGGAGCAAACAGG